rnacentral:rRNA from 14 species
UUUCCCAGCUAUAACAGACUGAAUUGAUUUCUCUUGGCUUAUUUUGUAUUAAAAGAUAAGCAGGCAUGCCCAGAACUUAUAUGGGAGACCAUCUGGAAAUAUUAGGUGCUGGAUGU